rnacentral:rRNA from 1 species
UACGAAGGGGGCUAGCGUUGUUCGGAAUUACUGGGUGUAAAGCGCGCGCAGGCGGCUAUCCAAGUCAGUGGUGAAAGCCCGGAGCUCAACUCCGGAACUGCCAUUGAAACUGUUUAGCUUGAGGACGAGAGAGGUGAGUGGAAUUCCCAGUGUAGAGGUGAAAUUCGUAGAUAUUGGGAAGAACACCGGUGGCGAAGGCGGCUCACUGGCUCGUAUCUGACGCUCAGGCGCGACAGCGUGGGGAUCAAACAGG